CCCUUAGAUGUUCUGGGCCGCACGCGCGCUACACUGAUGCAUUCAACGAGUCUAAAACCUGGUCUGAUAGGGCUGGGUAAUCUUUUGAAUGUGCAUCGUGAUUGGGAUAGAUGAUUGCAAUUCUUCAUCUUCAACGAGGAUUGCCUAGUAAACGCAAGUCAUCAGCUUGCAUUGAUUACGUCCCUGCCCUUUGUACACACCGCCCGUCGCUCCUACCGAUUGAAUGUUCCGAUGAAUACCAUGGACUGAGAGUAUGAAUGGGUUCGCCUAUUUCUGCUUCUCGGGAAGUGGAGUAAAUCUUAACAUUUAGAGGAAGGAGAAGUCGUAACA
rnacentral:rRNA from 1 species